AUUGAACGCUGGCGGCAGGAUUAACACAUGCAAGUAGAGCGAGCGGCGGACGGGUGAGUAGUGUCUGGGAAACUGCCUGAUGGAGGGGGAUAACUACUGGAAACGGUAGCUAAUACCGCAUACCAUACGAUGUGCCCAGAUGGGAUUAGCUAGUAGGGGGGGUAAUGGCUCAACUAGGCGACGAUCCAUAGCUGGUAUGGGAGGAUGACCAGCCACAUUGGAACUGUGCCACGGUCCAGCCUCCUACGGUAGGCAGCAGUGGGGAAUAUUGCACAAUGGGCGCAAGCCGGAUGCAGCCAUGCCGCGUGUGUGAAGAAGUCCUUCGGGUUGUAAAGCACUUUCAGCUAGGAGGCGUUACUCGCAGAAGAAGCACCGGCUAACUCCGUGCCAGCCGCCGCGGUAAUAC
rnacentral:rRNA from 1 species